UGUCUCUGUGGUUUGCUUUAGAGGACUUGUAAAAUGUUUUUUGAUUUCUUAUGGAGGACAUGUCGAUUUUUUUUUAAAGUGCUUUCUUUCUGUAUAAAUUGGCUGCGUUUUAUUUUCCUGUUACUAGCACAAGUUCUCUGUUUUGUAUGCAUGAUUCUAUGAGCUAAUUCUAGAAUUUCCUAUAUGUAUUGAAUCUUAUUCAAAGUAUUGUAUUGUAAUGUUUAUUGGUUUGAAACUUUGUUUGUUUAUUUGUUCCAUGGCUUAAACACAAACCUUUUCUCAAGCAGAAUUUGAUAGCUUUCAUCAAGUUUGGUGAGGACUGCAUACUUUUCUGGGGUGUAAAUGAUCACAGUGAAAAUGGUGUUGAAAAAAAACUUCUGGGUUAUUUUUGUUCUACUCCUUUUAGGAUUUGUAGCUAAUUUGCACACUGCAAAACGCGCUCCUCGGCCUAGGCCUCGCCAGAUUCUCUUGGAUACAGAUGAUUUCUUUGCUCUGCUCUACCUCUUAAAGCUUAACAGAUCAGAGUUUGAGUUAGAGGGUGUGACUAUCAACACAAAAGCCUGGACUGAUGCUAGACAUUCUGUGAAUCAAAUCUAUGACAUCCUUUACAUGAUGGGGCGCGAUGAUAUCGCUGUUAGAGUUGGCGGCGAAGGUGGAAUACUAAAAGAUGGUACCAUUCUUCCUAAUGUUGGUGGAUAUCUUCCCAUAAUAGAACAGGCAUGAGCUCAUUGAUUGCCUUCUACAUGUUUGAUUUUUGUUUUUCCUCAUAAAAAAACUUAGUACAUUGCCAUAACAUGUAUAUCAUACAAUCUCAGUUAAAAUCCACUCUAAUUUGUGUUUAGUUUAUGUAUGUCAGGGUGUUACAACCACUGGGGGAUGUAGAUAUAGACAAGCUAUCCCAGUAGGUAUUGGAGGUUGUCUGGAUGUUGAUACAAAUUUUGGCAUUAGAAAAGCUUUUCUUCCUCAGGUAUAUUGAGAUGAUUUCUUUGGAGCAAUUCUUGAGAACAUUUGUAGUUGAGGCCUUUAGAAUGGAAGAAUGUAUUUCACUAAUUUUUGUAUACAUUUCUUGUUUUGUAUUUAGUGAUAAAGGAAUCUUAAUUAGGCAUAAAUUAUGUUGUAAUAUGAUUUCUUAAGCCUAGACUAGUAGACAAAAUAUUGUAAUUACAUUUGAGUAAUUAAUAAAAAUCUAUUUAUGUUA